CGGACGGGUUAGUAACGCGUGGGAACGUGCCCUUCUCUGCGGAAUAGCCACUGGAAACGGUGAGUAAUACCGCAUACGCCCUUCGGGGGAAAGAUUUAUCGGAGAAGGAUCGGCCCGCGUUAGAUUAGAUAGUUGGUGGGGUAACGGCCUACCAAGUCUACGAUCUAUAGCUGGUUUUAGAGGAUGAUCAGCAACACUGGGACUGAGACACGGCCCAGACUCCUACGGGAGGCAGCAGUGGGGAAUCUUAGACAAUGGGCGCAAGCCUGAUCUAGCCAUGCCGCGUGUGUGAUGAAGGUCUUAGGAUCGUAAAGCACUUUCGCCAGGGAUGAUAAUGACAGUACCUGGUAAAGAAACCCCGGCUAACUCCGUGCCAGCAGCCGCGGUAAUACGGAGGGGGUUAGCGUUGUUCGGAAUUACUGGGCGUAAAGCGCGCGUAGGCGGAUUGGAAAGUUGGGGGUGAAAUCCCGGGGCUCAACCCCGGAACUGCCUCCAAAACUAUCAGUCUAGAGUUCGAGAGAGGUGAGUGGAAUUCCAAGUGUAGAGGUGAAAUUCGUAGAUAUUUGGAGGAACACCAGUGGCGAAGGCGGCUCACUGGCUCGAUACUGACGCUGAGGUGCGAAAGUGUG
rnacentral:rRNA from 1 species